rnacentral:rRNA from 1 species
UNUGACUUGAGUGCAGAAGGGGAGAGUGGAAUUCCAUGUGUAGCGGUGAAAUGCGUAGAUAUAUGGAGGAACACCAGUGGCGAAAGCGGCUCUCUGNUCUGUCACUGACGCUGAGGCUCGAAAGCGUGGGUAGCGAACAGGAUUAGAUACCCUGAUAGUNCACGCCGUAAACGAUGAGUGCUAGGUGUUAGGCCCUUUCCGGGGCUUAGUGCCGGAGCUAACGCAAUAAGCACUCCGCCUGGGGAGUACGACCGCAAGGUUGAAACUCAAAGGAAUUGACGGGGGCCCGCACAAGCGGUGGAGCAUGUGGUUUAAUUCGAAGCAACGCGAAGAACCUUACCAGGUCUUGACAUCCCGAUGCUAUUCUUAGAGAUAGGAAGUUACUUCGGUACAUCGGAGACAGGUGGUGCAUGGUUGUCGUCAGCUCGUGUCGUGAGAUGUUGGGUUAAGUCCCGCAACGAGCACAACCCUUAUUGUUAGUUGCCAUCAUUAAGUUGGGCACUCUAGCGAGACUGCCGGUAAUAAACCGGAGGAAGGUGGGGAUGACGUCAAAUCAUCAUGCCCCUUAUGACCUGGGCUACACACGUGCUACAAUGGUCGGUACAACGAGUUGCGAGCCGGUGACGGCAAGCUAAUCUCUGAAAGCCGAUCUCAGUUCGGAUUGGAGGCUGCAACUCGCCUCCAUGAAGUCGGAAUCGCUAGUAAUCGCGGAUCAGCACGCCGCGGUGAAUACGUUCCCGGGCCUUGUACACACCGCCCGUCACACCACGAGAGUUUGUAACACCCGAAGUCGGUGAGGUANCCUUUUAGGG